AUCCCUUCGGGGUGAAGCCGGUGGAAUGAGCGGCGGACGGGUGAGUAACACGUGGGCAACCUACCUUGUAGACGGGAUAACUCCGGGAAACCGGGGCUAAUACCGGAUGAUCAUUUGGAUCGCAGAUCCGAAUGUAAAAGUGGGGAUUUAUCCUCACACUGCAAGAUGGGCCCGCGGCGCAUUAGCUAGUUGGUAAGGUAAUGGCUUACCAAGGCGACGAUGCGUAGCCGACCUGAGAGGGUGAUCGGCCACACUGGAACUGAGACACGGUCCAGACUCCUACGGGAGGCAGCAGUAGGGAAUCAUCCGCAAUGGGCGAAAGCCUGACGGUGCAACGCCGCGUGAACGAUGAAGGUUUUCGGAUCGUAAAGUUCUGUUAUGAGGGAAGAACAAGUGCCGUUCGAAUAGGUCGGCACCUUGACGGUACCUCACGAGAAAGCCCCGGCUAACUACGUGCCAGCAGCCGCGGUAAUACGUAGGGGGCAAGCGUUGUCCGGAAUUAUUGGGCGUAAAGCGCGCGCAGGCGGUCUCUUAAGUCUGAUGUGAAAGCCCACGGCUCAACCGUGGAGGGUCAUUGGAAACUGGGGGACUUGAGUGUAGGAGAGGAAAGUGGAAUUCCACGUGUAGCGGUGAAAUGCGUAGAUAUGUGGAGGAACACCAGUGGCGAAGGCGACUUUCUGGCCUACAACUGACGCUGAGGCGCGAAAGCGUGGGGAGCAAACAGGAUUAGAUACCCUGGUAGUCCACGCCGUAAACGAUGAGUGCUAGGUGUUAGGGGUUUCGAUACCCUUAGUGCCGAAGUUAACACAUUAAGCACUCCGCCUGGGGAGUACGGCCGCAAGGCUGAAACUCAAAGGAAUUGACGGGGGCCCGCACAAGCAGUGGAGCAGGUGGUUUAAUUCGAAGCAACGCGAAGAACCUUACCAGGUCUUGACAUCCUCUGACACCUCUGGAGACAGAGCGUUCCCCUUCGGGGGACAGADUGACAGGUGGUGC
rnacentral:rRNA from 1 species